rnacentral:rRNA from 1 species
UACGGGGGGAGCAAGCGUUGUUCGGAUUUACUGGGCGUAAAGGGCGCGUAGGCGGCGUAACAAGUCACUUGUGAAAUCUCCGGGCUUAACCCGGAGCGGCCAAGUGAUACUGUUGUGCUAGAGUGCGGAAGGGGCUACUGGAAUUCUCGGUGUAGAGGUGAAAUUCGUAGAUAUUAGGAAGAACACCGGUGGCGAAGGCGGCCCACUGGAUCGGUACUGACGCU